UUAUGGAUUCAAGUCUUGGAAAUAACCUCUGGCAGAAAUGCAAGAUAAGGCUGCGUACAAUACAAUCAAUCUUAGUCAAUGAAGCACCAAGAUCAAGAUGCAAAUUUGUGACUUGCAAUGGAGUUUUGAGGUAGAGUGAGAGGGUCUAUAGAUUUGUGGAGUUGUGUUUGGUUAUGGGUGUUAGAUAUGAUUGUUGUGAACAGUGGCGGAGGCACAUACAAUUCAGGGGUUCAUCCUUCGUCCGAAAAUUAUAUUAUUUUCACAUGGUCAAAAAUAUUUUGAUGUAUAUAUAGUAGAUGUUGAACCCCCUUCGACUAGUCCGUAUAUUUACUUCUGAAU
rnacentral:lncRNA from 1 species